GGGGGGGGGGGGGGGGGGGGGGGGGGGGGGGGGGGGGGGGGGGGGGGGGGGGGGCGUGGGGCGGGGGGGUGAGCGGGGGACGGGUGAGUAACACGUGGAUGCCCGACCUAGAGGACUGGGGUAACGGCGGGACACGGGCGCUAAUACCGGAUAAGAGAUUGAACCGUAUGGUUCAAGAGUGAAAGACGGUGUUGCUUUCCGUUGUGGAUGGGUCCACCCCGACUUAGCUCGGUCGUACGUUAACGGCUUCACAAGGCCACGAUGCGUAGCCCACCUGAGAGGGUGAUCGGCCCCACUGGAUCUGAGACACGGUCCAGACUCCUACGGGGGGCAGCAGUAGGGAAUCUUCCGCAAUGGGCGAAAGCCUGACGGAGCAACGCCGGGUGAGUGAUGAAGGUCUUCGGAUCGUAAAACUCUGUUAUUAGGGAAGAACAAAUGUGUAAGUAACUAUGCACGUCUUGACGGUACCUACUCAGAAAGCCACGGCUAACUACGUG
rnacentral:rRNA from 1 species